rnacentral:rRNA from 1 species
UACGUAGGGGGCAAGCGUUGUCCGGAAUCAUUGGGCGUAAAGCGCGUGUAGGCGGUUCGAUAAGUCUGCUCUGAAAGCCCGGGGCUCAACCCCGGGAGGCGGGUGGAUACUGUCGAGCUUGAGUCCGGAAGAGGAGUGUGGAAUUCCUGGUGUAGCGGUGAAAUGCGCAGAUAUCAGGAGGAACACCAAUUGCGAAGGCAGCACUCUGGGACGUGACUGACGCUGAGACGCGAAAGCGUGGGGAGCGAACAGG